CACAAAUAAGAUAACAAAAUAUCAAGGUGUUACAAGCUAAUGCAAUACUGUAAGUCUAAGAAUUUAUCUACACAAUUAGGAAACCUAAGAGCUCUCGCGCCACCGGAUGGGCAACCAUAUUUUCUUGAUGAGAAAUGUGAGAAAGAGAGACGAAAGAGAGAGAAUGAAACAAGCUUCGACACUCUUGAAGUAGAGUCCCCAUCCGAAUAUCCGGAACCACUAAUAGCAAGAGGCGGGCUACCUCCAAGCGGCCGGUAUCAAUAGCAUCACAGCCAAGGCGUAGAAAGUGUAUCCAAAUCUCAGAUUCUGUUGCAAGGCUCCAAUGUCAUUUGUUUUUUUUCACUGACCGAAACAGUAUUAGAGGUUUACACUACAAGUUAUACUAACAGGAUAACGAAGAGCCUCUUUUGCCACAUAACGGGAGACGUACACAAUUAUUUUGUCGGCGUCUAUAUUGUAUAAAAACAUAGGUAAAAGACGUGAGGAGGGUGUGCUACUCGGAUAGAAGCAACCUUGCCCUGAUAUCCAAAGUUGUUGACGUAAGGAGGCGAGCGACUUCAGCGCAAUCUGUGAAGAAAGAUAUUUGUCGAAGUUGCCAACACAAAGCUGCAACAAUGGCCCGUCGAAUGGCCAUUAACUCCAAAGUCGAUGUGAGGAAUAACCUGUCCGGAGGCGGCAAGAGCAUCAUCAUCAUCAGUUUCAUCCUUCAGAACAAGACUGAUUGCGCCAUGAUUUGAAAGACGAACAGCUGCAUCCUCGGAAAUUCGCCAAGAGUGAUGGAAAGAGGUGGCGACAUCGUGGAUCAAUAGCAUAGAGCAACAACGUUGUGCAAAAUGGAACUGGAAGUAAUGGAUUGCUAGUAUUGGUCAAUGUUGUCACACACAUCUCUAGAUCUGUAAACUAAAACCGAUCGAGAAAAAAAAAAGAUUUACAGAUCCUAAAAACCCUUUGUGCAAAUACAAAUACAAACCGUUAAAUCUGUAAACUAAAUUUGGUACUUUAACUCACCAAAAUCUAAAUAUUUUAAUAUAUUGAUGUCAAAUUUAGCACUCUAAACACUUUAACCCUCCCAACCGUUGAAGAAGAUCUCAUGUGGAAUUUGGGUAAAAAAAUAAUUAUGCUGGCGUGAAGUAAGUUUGUGCCUUAACUUUGCUACCGGAAAAUGUUGAUACGUUUUCAUUUUUUGAGGAGCAACCGAGCAACGUCGACACUUGGGUCUCCCAUCAAUCUCCAUGCGGCGGUGCAUGCAUUGGUGAUUCCAACCUAUAUAUACCCUAACACAUCAAACACCACUCUACUUGUCUCAGUUAAGAAUACUAAACCCAAGAAACAAAAUGAAAAGCAUGAUGAGGAUUAACGUCCCGGUGGUUGUUGCCGCCGGCGUCCUCAUCACCAUGUUUGCUACUGCCGCCGUGAUGACGACCGACGCCACCAGAGAUGUCACUACAGCUACUACUCAUUAUCACAUCCAAGAGGAGCCAGAGCCCCCGCCCGGUCGCUCCACGUCUGACAACCCCGACAAGAGUACUAACCAUUAUCACAUCCAAGAGGAGCCAGAGCCGCCGCCCGGUGGGUCCACCUCCGACGAACCCGACAUGGGUACUAACCAUUAUCAUAUCCAAGAGGAGCCGGAGCCGCCGCCGGGUGGGUCCACGUCUGACAACCGAGGUUUGACUACCGGUGAGGGAAAAAGUAUCCAUGAUGUUCUACGUGAGCCCGAGCCACCGAAACCUAGCCCGGCGGUUGGUGUUAAUGUAUAACCCAGAGAUGCAUGGGUAGUUGGUUGGGGACAUCUAUCCGACUAUAUAUCCCUUGGUCGGAAUAAACUUUUAAUAAGUCGGCUUGUCCUUUUCCAUUUCCCAUAAUAAAAAUGAUCAAAAAUAAACUUAACAAUUAAUAUAUACCAGAGUUUUGGUAUGUGGUGUGAUUGAAUUUAAAUUUUGAAUAUAUAUAUAUGAGAUGUGUUUGGAUUUAAAUUUGAUAAUUACAUCAAAGAUAGCUGAGCUUGUCAACGUUCACUACAACAAAAAUUAAUUUUGGAGGUAGUGAUUAUUUGUUUUUAAAUGAUAUUUAAUAGUCUUUAUAACUUUAUAAAAAAAUAUAUUUUAUGGGUAUUUAAUGUCCCUAUCGCAAAAUGUCUCUUAAACAGUUAUUUUAUUUAUUGCUUAUUGCUAUUUGAAAUANNNNNNNNNNNNNNNNNNNNNNNNNNNNNNNNNNNNNNNNNNNNNNNNAAAUUUUAUUUUUGCGAGAUGAAUACUCUUUUGGUCAUAUAUUAAUAAAAUUAUUAUAAUAAAAAACCCAUCUAAAUUACACGAAAUAACAAAAAAAAUAUAAUACAAGAUUUAAACACAACAAAAAUAACAAAAUAACUAUUUUAAACUGAUCUUCAUCGUGAAUAGUUCUAAUCUCCAGUUCUUCAAAAACGUGAUCUCAUAUGUGUUCUUGAUUAACCUGUUAUGUUCAUCAAAUUCAAAUUUCAAUUAACAUCCAAUUAUUAUAAACCAAUAUAAUCCCAAUCGCCUUCUAUCUCUUAAAAAUUAAACCAAGUUGUUCCAACAAAUAUAGCUUCUGGGGACGGGAAAAAGGAGAACAUGGGUAGCUUGUGGAUAAAGGAGAAAAGGAAAAGCUCACAGACCAGAGCAUAAAAAACCAAAACCAACUAACUGGCUUUUCCAGCCGGAGACCAGAGCAGCUGGGCCUACUGGUAUCAUCGUUGGUCAACUCUAUUGAACUUUGGAGUCGUUAACCCUAUCAAAAAUUGAAACUUGAGCCUAUUAGUACUUCUAUAAAAAAAUCUCACGGUCCAUUGACGGACGCCCAUUAAAACCUACCAACACUAUUACACUUUAUACAUUUAUGACAUCUCCCUCAUACUUCUUUGUAUCCAAGCUCGUGUUCAUCUUCUUUAGCUAACCUUUAGUUUAUCCCACACCAAAACAUUAACUUGCACUCUCAUAUACGAGGUUAAUACUAAUAGUUUUACAAGAAGACCCACCCACAGAGCACAUCAUCCCAUCCCGCCUUCAACAACCGAAUCAAUAUUUUCCUACUAGAUUGUACGGGGCAGAACAAUAACAAAUUAAGUAAUUGAUCUACAUAUACCAUUAGUCUGUAAAUAUGAAUUGAAGAUUAUAGUCAUGCGAUGUAAAUGUAUCAAUUUAAAUUGGCAUUCUCUUUUACAAUGUGAUCGAAAGAGGCUCCACGAGCAAGAAUGGAAUGGAGAUAAAAUAAUUGUCAACGGUUUUGUUCUCGAACAGAUAAAAUUUCGGCUCCUCUUUCCUAAAAACUUUUUACAUUCUUUUUGCGACUAGCUUUUAUAAUGAAAAAAGUACUAGGUAAGUUAUGUGGAUAUAAAAAUGACGAUUUUGAUAAGAAUUUAAAAAGGAAAUAUUCUGAGAUAUAGAAAGGGAAAUACAAAAUUAAAAAGAAUGAUAAUAACAUAAACUAAAUUUUCUAAAAAUUCUUUUCCCAUUAAUUAUCCAAUCACCCAAAAGGAAAAAAAAUUUAUAAAAAUUAUCUACUUAGAUUAAUUUACCAUAAAAUACAUAAUUUCUAUAUUGGUCGGUGGAUGAAAAUUUGGAAACAAAAACUACCAUAUAUGAAAUUCAAAUACCAAAUCAUUAGCUAAGAUAAUAUUUAAUGAGAAGUUGUUAAUUGAAAAGGCUGGCGUAGAAUACUUUUGUGCAUUAACUUAAUUAAUGAAUAACUUUGGUAAGUUUCAUUUUUCAACUACCUACUUGGUAGGUAGGAUCUCCCUGGAUUGGUUAUUUCAAAUUAUAUAUACCCCCAACUAUCACAUAACCACAAUCAUAUCUGCCUCAAUUGUACCAACAAAGAAUAUAGAGAUAAGGAAGAAUACAAAUAUCAAAAGUAUGAAGAUUAACGUUGCAAUACUCGUUCUCAUCUUGUUUGUUACAGCUGCAGAGAUGACGGAUGCCAUUAGAGAUGUCGUCCCAAUGGAGCCAGAGCCACCAGGUGCGCAACCUACCAACGCUGGCAUGAAUACAACUGUUCACCAUGGUAUUCAAGGUGAGGAACCAUCACCAGGGAUAGCUGAGGCCGACAACGUUGAUCACUACAAUGUUCAAGGUGAGGAACCGUCACCAGGGAUAGCAGAGCUUAAUAACAUUGAUCACCACAAUAUUCAAGGUGAGGAACCGUCAUCAGGGAUAGCGGAGCUUAACAACGUUGAACACCACAAUGUUCAAGGCGAGGAACCAUCCCCAGGGAUAGCCGAGCCUGUCAAUGUUGAUCACUACAUUGUUCAAGGUGAGGAACCAUCAUCAGGGAUAGCCGAGCUUGACAACUCUAUUCACCACAGUUUUCAAGGCGAGGAACCGUCACCAAGGAUAGCUUAAGGUCGAACUAGCCGUCACACCACAACUCAUCAUCAUAUUGUUGUAGUGUAGAUCGAGCCACCGAAACCUAAAAAAUCAGGUAAGUUAUGUGGAUAUAAAAAUGACGAUGUUGAUAAGAAUUUAAAAAGGAAAUAUUCUGAGAUAUAGAAAGGGAAAUACAAAAUUAAAAAGAAUGAUAAUAACAUAAACUAAAUUUUCUAAAAAUUCUUUUCCCAUUAAUUAUCCAAUCACCCAAAAGGAAAAAAAAUUUAUAAAAAUUAUCUACUUAGAUUAAUUUACCAUAAAAUACAUAAUUUCUAUAUUGGUCGGUGGAUGAAAAUUUGGAAACAAAAACUACCAUAUAUGAAAUUCAAAUACCAAAUCAUUAGCUAAGAUAAUAUUUAAUGAGAAGUUGUUAAUUGAAAAGGCUGGCGUAGAAUACUUUUGUGCAUUAACUUAAUUAAUGAAUAACUUUGGUAAGUUUCAUUUUUCAACUACCUACUUGGUAGGUAGGAUCUCCCUGGAUUGGUUAUUUCAAAUUAUAUAUACCCCCAACUAUCACAUAACCACAAUCAUAUCUGCCUCAAUUGUACCAACAAAGAAUAUAGAGAUAAGGAAGAAUACAAAUAUCAAAAGUAUGAAGAUUAACGUUGCAAUACUCGUUCUCAUCUUGUUUGUUACAGCUGCAGAGAUGACGGAUGCCAUUAGAGAUGUCGUCCCAAUGGAGCCAGAGCCACCAGGUGCGCAACCUACCAACGCUGGCAUGAAUACAACUGUUCACCAUGGUAUUCAAGGUGAGGAACCAUCACCAGGGAUAGCUGAGGCCGACAACGUUGAUCACUACAAUGUUCAAGGUGAGGAACCGUCACCAGGGAUAGCAGAGCUUAAUAACAUUGAUCACCACAAUAUUCAAGGUGAGGAACCGUCAUCAGGGAUAGCGGAGCUUAACAACGUUGAACACCACAAUGUUCAAGGCGAGGAACCAUCCCCAGGGAUAGCCGAGCCUGUCAAUGUUGAUCACUACAUUGUUCAAGGUGAGGAACCAUCAUCAGGGAUAGCCGAGCUUGACAACUCUAUUCACCACAGUUUUCAAGGCGAGGAACCGUCACCAAGGAUAGCUUAAGGUCGAACUAGCCGUCACACCACAACUCAUCAUCAUAUUGUUGUAGUGUAGAUCGAGCCACCGAAACCUAAAAAAUCUAUCGUUAAUUUACAAGUGUCAUGCACACAGUGAUAUGCAUUUGUCAAUUUGGUAGAAAUAAACAACAUUGGUCGGCAAAAAUUAUUGUGUUCUAUGUCGGUUAUUAUAAAAUGGUCAAUCAUAUAUUUAUUAAAAAUGACAAUGAGAUCUAAAUCUAAUAUUUUUAGUUAUGAUUAUAAUUUUAC
rnacentral:lncRNA from 1 species